rnacentral:rRNA from 1 species
GAUGAACGCUGGCGGCGUGCCUAAUACAUGCAAGUCGAGCGAACAGACGAGGAGCUUGCUCCUCUGACGUUAGCGGCGGACGGGUGAGUAACACGUGGAUAACCUACCUAUAAGACUGGGAUAACUUCGGGAAACCGGAGCUAAUACCGGAUAAUAUAUUGAACCGCAUGGUUCAAUAGUGAAAGACGGUUUUGCUGUCACUUAUAGAUGGAUCCGCGCCGCAUUAGCUAGUUGGUAAGGUAACGGCUUACCAAGGCAACGAUGCGUAGCCGACCUGAGAGGGUGGGCGGCCACACUGGAACAGAGACACGGUCCAGACUCCUACGGGAGGCAGCAGUAGGGAAUCUUCCGCAAUGGGCGAAAGCCUGACGGAGCAACGCCGCGUGAGUGAUGAAGGUCUUCGGAUCGUAAAACUCUGUUAUUAGGGAAGAACAAAUGUGUAAGUAACUAUGCACGUCUUGACGGUACCUAAUCAGAAAGCCACGGCUAACUACGUG